UUAAGUUCAGCGGGUAGUCCUACCUGAUUUGAGGUCAAAGGGGCAGUUAAAAAAAGAGAAGCCAGUGUAAACAAAUUAUCACACUGAUGCGUCUCAAAGUUAAUGCUUUUGAGGAGAGCUGGCUCAAACAGACCAGCACAGUGCUCCCAAAGUCCAAAACACCUCUCGAGAAAAGGUGUUUUGAUAGUUUAAUGACACUC
rnacentral:misc_RNA from 1 species